rnacentral:rRNA from 1 species
GGUUUGCUUAUGGCGUAUUUUCAUUAGAAAAGACGCUUCCUGCAUUCCUAUCCUUCUGGUUAAUUUUUGUGCCAUUUAUUUGGUGCAUUAAGGAUCCAGGACUUUUACUUUGAAAAAAUUAGAGUGUUUAAAGCAGGCUUACGCUUGAAUACAUUAGCAUGGAAUAAUAAAAUAGGACUUUGGUUUUAUUUUGUUGGUUUCUAAGACUAAAGUA